UCUCACUGUUAUUGCUGCAGGAAGAGGAAGGAGAAGGAGAAAACGAAGAAGAAUGUCGACCGUCUUACCGGAGGGUAUCAUAGAGGAGAACAUACUCACGAGAUUGCCUGUCAAAUCAAUUUCAAGAUUCAGGUGUGUAUCCAAAAGUUGGUAUCAUCUAUUUCAAAACCCUAAUUUCAUCAAAAAUCAUCUCAACCAUGCUAAUCUCAUGAACCGAUUCAAUUUCUUGGUUACCAACUCCCAUUUAUCUAUUGUUCAAUCAACAACAUCAUCACCAUUUGUAAGUCAUGCUCCUGAGAUUGAUUAUCCAUUCAUGUCUAGGAAAUGUUGGCCUCGAACUCUAGGUUCUUCUAAUGGUCUGGUUCUCAUGGUCGUAAUAACAUGCUAUGAAGAUCUUUGCAUUUGGAACCCGGCUACCCGGGAAUAUAAACGAGUGCCAGAACAUCCAGACGACUCAGACUCUGUUGCACAUGGGUUUGGUUUUGAUUGCAAGAAUGAUGAUUAUAAGGUGUUAAGAAUUGCCUGUUCUGAUCCUGAUGAAGAAGUUUUGGAAGCUAGUGUUUACUCAUUAGCUUCAAAUUCAUGGAAGGAACUUGGUUCCAUUUCUUAUUAUUUCCCUCUUGGUACAAAUAAGGGGUUUCUACUUGAUGGUGUUCUUCAUUGGAUUGUAUCUAGUGUUCUUCUUUGUUUUGACAUUUCUGAUGAGACGUUCUGUGAGGUGCCAUUACCUUACAACGGUUCAGAUUGGGUCCAGGACCCUUCCAUUUUAGAUUUGGGCGUCUGGGAAGGGAAACUUUGUCUAUUUCAAAAGAAUCACAUGGAUAACAAGUGGACGUGUACGCAUCAAAAUGAUCACAUCGAUGUGUGGACGAUGAUGGAUAACAAGUGGAGUAAGCAUUUAAAGAUUACUGCACAUAUGAUAGACAUGUACUAUGGAAGGCCAAUUCAAACUUUGCAAAAUGGUGAGAUCCUUAUUGAAGGCGGACCGAGGAAGGAAGAAGAGGGCAUUGCACUCAUUUCAUAUGACCCUAAGCUUGAAAGAGUCAGAGCUCUGAUGAUACAUGGUGAUCCAGACGAGUCUGAAGUGGAUACUUAUAUUGAAACCUUAGUGCCACUAAACUCCGGUACUUAUGUUAAUAAUAAAGCAAGAAAGAAAACAAGAAAGAAAAGAAACUGAUAUGGACGACUGAUAGGGAUCUAGAACGGUGAACCAAGAAAGUAAGGGCGUAGACAAGAGGGGAGGAAGAUAUGGUAGAAAGGGGUUGUCUCGAUCUUACUUAUGUUUUUGCGCUAAAGAAAUGAAGCGGAAAACUGUUCAUUGCGAGAGAUGAUUUGUUAUAUGUAGCAGUGGAUUAUCCAAUAAUGGAAUUAAGAUCAGGCGCAUGGCAGUUAUAUAAGUUAUAACGGCACUUUCGGUAAACUCCAAACAAACUCGAGUAAGGUCCUCUCUCAUUAAGCUAUUAUAUGUGGGCUGUGUUUACUUCGUGACUCAUAAAGGAAGCAGUCAAAUUAAAGCUUUUCUUAUCGUGGCUCAAGCUGUUUUGUUAGCAGCUAGUAGUUUCAUUAGGUCGGCUGAUCAUUGCGAGCUAGCUGCAUUCGUUCAACUUUGGUUAAAAGUAGACUUGCAGUCAUAAUCAUACAAUUUUUAUGUCUUUGUUAUUUACUGUUUAGACAUCUACUCCAAACUUCAUAAUUAAUUUCCUUUAAAAUUGAAGCUCAA